rnacentral:rRNA from 1 species
GACGAACGCUGGCGGCGUGCUUAACACAUGCAAGUCGAGCGAGUUGAUUCCCUUCGGGGAUGAAGCUAGCGGCGGACGGGUGAGUAACACGUGGGCAACCUGCCUUAUAGAGGGGGAUAGCCUUCCGAAAGGAAGAUUAAUACCGCAUAACAUCAGAUUAUCGCAUGGUAGACUGAUCAAAGGAGUAAUCCGCUAUAAGAUGGGCCCGCGUCGCAUUAGCUAGUUGGUGAGGUAACGGCCCACCAAGGCGACGAUGCGUAGCCGACCUGAGAGGGUGAUCGGCCACAUUGGGACUGAGACACGGCCCAGACUCCUACGGGAGGCAGCAGUGGGGAAUAUUGCACAAUGGGGGAAACCCUGAUGCAGCAACGCCGCGUGAGUGAUGAAGGCCUUCGGGUUGUAAAGCUCUUUGAUCAGGGACGAUAAUGACGGUACCUGAAGAACAAGCCACGGCUAACUACGUGCCAGCCGCCGCCGUAAAAC